rnacentral:rRNA from 1 species
CAGUAGCCGCGGUAAAACGAACCGCGCGAACGUUAUUCGGAAUCACUGGGCUUAAAGCGCGUGUAGGCGGGCCGCCACGUCGGCUGCUGAAAUCCCCCGGCUCAACCGGGGAAGUGGCACCGAUACGAGCGGCCUGGAGGGGGGUAGGGGGGACUGGAACUUCCGGUGGAGCGGUGAAAUGCGUUGAGAUCGGAAGGAACGCCCGUGGCGAAAGCGAGUCCCUGGACCCUUACUGACGCUGAGACGCGAAAGCCAGGGGAGCGAACGGGAUUAGAUACCCCAGUAGUCCCUGUCUCUUAUA